rnacentral:rRNA from 1 species
GAAGCCCUUCGGGGCAGAAACCGGCGCACGGGUGCGUAACGCGUAUGCAACCUACCUUUUACAGGGGGAUAGCCCGAAGAAAUUUGGAUUAAUACCCCAUAACAUUACGAGAUGGCAUCAUUUUGUAAUUAAAACUACGGUGGUAGAAGAUGGGCAUGCGUUCUAUUAGCUAGUUGGAGUGGUAACGGCACCCCAAGGCUACGAUAGAUAGGGGUCCUGAGAGGGAGAUCCCCCACACUGGUACUGAGACAGGGACCAGACUCCUACGGGAGGCAGCAGUGAGGAAUAUUGGUCAAUGGUCGGAAGACUGAACCAGCCAUGCCGCGUGCAGGAAGAAUGCCUUAUGGGUUGUAAACUGCUUUUGUAAGGGAAGAAUAAGGGGUACGUGUACCUUGAUGACGGUACCUUACGAAUAAGCAUCGGCUAACUCCGUGCCAGCAGCCGCGGUAAUACGGAGGAUGCGAGCGUUAUCCGGAAUCAUUGGGUUUAAAGGGUCUGUAGGCGGGCUAUUAAGUCAGGGGUGAAAGGUUUCAGCUUAACUGAGAAAUUGCCUUUGAUACUGGUAGUCUUGAAUAUCUGUGAAGUUCUUGGAAUGUGUAGUGUAGCGGUGAAAUGCUUAGAUAUUACACAGAACACCGAUUGCGAAGGCAGGGGACUAACAGACGAUUGACGCUGAGAGACGAAAGCGUGGGGAGCGAACAGGAUUAGAUACCCUGGUAGUCCACGCUGUAAACGAUGGAUACUAGCUGUUUGGUGAUAAGCUGAGUGGCUAAGCGAAAGUGAUAAGUAUCCCACCUGGGGAGUACGCACGCAAGUGUGAAACUCAAAGGAAUUGACGGGGGCCCGCACAAGCGGUGG